UUGUGUUGGAAGGUCUUUGGUGGAGAAGGGUCUAUGUUCCCGUGGGUGUGGCAGCUCUCUCCAUCGUCGUCGUGUCAGUUCACAUCUGGACAAAAACUAACGGUAAGAAGACUGAUCAUAACAAAACUGUGAUCAGUGAUGAAGAUGAUGGUGAUGAUGAUGUGGUGACCUAUGAAAAUACCGAAGCCCUACCUGCUUCUGUUCAAUCCACAGAUCAAUAAAUCAGCUGUAAAAACAGAUCUGACCUGAGCAGGAAUGAACUCCAGCUUACCUUGGUACAGAAUGGGAAAAAAAAGGCUUUGUUUCCUGUAUUUCUGCAUAAACUGGGACUAUAGUGAAACAAAAUCAGCAAAAUAAUCAAGCUGGAUAUAUUCAUAUUUCCUGCCAGAAGCCGGGUUCCAAAAUAUUUAUGAGAAACAACUGUUAUUACAUGAAAGGAUAAUCGAUCAGGACUUGAGGGAAUCAUUAUAUGAAAUUAGAAUCAACAUUUAUUUGCGUUUUGUGUGAUCAGAGUUGAAAUAACGUGAGUCAGUUCCACUGUUUCUUUCCACUUAUUCAUCUAACUUUGUGCAUGAAACGGUUAAUGAAACUUUGUCUAAAAGUAUGAUCUUUGAUCCAGCUUCUCCUCAUCUGUCCUCGGUCAUUGAUGAAAACACAAAAGCAUCAAUGUUUAUGUUUAGUCAUUCAAAUAUUACAAUUAAAUAAAGCGUAAAAGAAAAAAAGUAUUUAAAUAUGUAAAAAUACACUUU